UACGGGGGGGGUAAGCGUUGUUCGGAAUUACUGGGCGUAAAGGGCUCGUAGGCGGCCAACUAAGUCAUACGUGAAAUCCCUCAGCUUAACUGGGGAACUGCGUGUGAUACUGGAUGGCUUGGAUUUGGGAGAGGGAUGCGGAAUUCCAGGUGUAGCGGUGAAAUGCGUAGAUAUCUGGAGGAACACCGGUGGCGAAGGCGGUUCUCUGGGCAUGAUCGUGACGCUGAGGAGCGAAAGUGUGGGGAGCGAACAGG
rnacentral:rRNA from 1 species